UCAGCCAGAGAUCCCAGAACCAGCCGCUGUCCCCUGGCAAAAGAGGCCCAGUGCUGAGCCCUGGGCAAGUGUCUGCAGACAUCGCCGCCCCUCCUCCCUGAUUAGUUUCCCUUACCAACAGAAAUCAUUUCCUUUUGCCACCAAAACUAGGUUGCACCCAAAAGUUUCUCACAAGCUUAGAAAAGAGAAAUGAAAAUUGACAACCGUUACACAGAAGAGCUCACAAAAGCUGCAGCAGGAGGAAGGGUGAAGGAGCAGCGACAGACACAGAAAUUGUUCAGCUGACUUCAGCCCUUUCUGCCUAUUGGUGACAGCUUCUCCUAGGAAGGGUUUCUGCCUCACGAGGUCAAGUUUGAGAGAUCUCCCCUGCAAAUACUGAGGCUGAACUUUAGAAGGUGCCUGUGGCAUUUUUGGUGGCCUCGGAGCAGAAUGGACGGGCAGCUCUCCUCAGGCCACCAUCACCUGAGUAAUGUCACCUCUUACUGCCACCUCCAUGCUGCCUUCACUCUGGGACUGGGGUCUGCAGAACAUCUGGAAGAAGUCUCCCAUCAUGCAAGGGAGAAAAUGAGACUCUCUGCUGGCCUCUAUCAGGGAAGCUAAAAGUUUCCCCCUCUUUCCUGCAAGUUUCCCAAACCACAAGACUCUGAUUACCAGGUCAGAGAAUAAGAUCUCAUUUUUAUUAUCCUUUACACUUUGCACUUUGAAGAGUCCCCGAAGGAGCAUGUGAUGGACUGAUUAUUGUGAGCCCAUGUUGGGCAAGGCCAGGACUCAGGUGCCACAUAGAGAUACUCAGUCACACCUGCACAGGGAUCUGGGGGCCUUAAGUCAGCUCCUACUUUCUAAUGUCCGACAGCGCCCUCCGCACCCCUGGAGUGGCGAGCAGGACUUCUCCUCGGGGCAGAGCCAGUCCCAGGAUUCUUAAGGGAUUGGGUGAGUGACCCAAUAUCGAAGAGGAUUCAGAUUCGUAUGUGGCAUUUCUGAUUUAAUUCCUAAACGGCAGUUGCCUAAAGCAUGUGGAAGAUAAGAAACCUUGCUAAGUGUUCAAACUUAAAAGAACAUUGGUUUAAGAGAAACGAAAACUAUGUCCACAUAAAAACUUGUCCAUUCAUGUCCACAAUACCAUUAUAUUCAUAACAGCCCGAAUGAGGAAACAUCCAAAUGUCCGUCAACUAACAAAAGGAUAAACAAAAUAUGGUACACCCAUGCAAUGAAGUACUAUUUGGCAAUAAAAAGGAAUGAAAUACUCAUACAGGCGACAACAUUGAUGAACCUUAAAACACUAUGCUGAGUGAAAGAAGCUAAUCACAAAUAACACAUAUUGUAUGACAUUCCUAGAAUAGGCCAAUCUGUAGAGACAGAAAAUAGCCUAGUCCCUGCAGAGGGCUGGGAGUCAGGACACAGGCAAUGGAGGUGCCUGGCCGGUGCUGCAGAGCAUGCUUCUGGGGGACCAGAUUAUUCUAAAGUUAAUUGUGAUGGAGGCUGGACACCUCUGUGAAUGUACCAAAAACCAUUGAAUUUUGUGCUUGAAAUGGGUGAAUUGCAUGAUGUGCAAAUAAUAUUUCAAUACAGCUGUUAAUUUUUUUAAUAAUUUUUUUAAGAUUUCAUUUAUUUAUCUUUAGAGGGGAAGGGAAGAAGAGAGAGAGAGAAACAUCAAUGUAUGGUUGCCUCUCGUGCAUCCCCUGCUGGGAAACUGGCCUGCAACCCAGGCAUGUGCCCU